CCUGACCGUGGCUGAUACCUUGACGUGGUGGUCGGGCUUGCCUAUCGUGAUGAUCCAACCGAGCUAUACUGGCUGGAACAAUUGUUCCUCAAGGUUCCACCAUGGCAGACAGGUCGGUUGAAGAGCGGUAAGACUAAAAGCAGC
rnacentral:ribozyme from 1 species